GGAAGGAACAUUAGGAACAUCCACAGCGUUCCAUCCAGGAACCUUCACCAUGGAAACCCUUGUGCUCAUGGGCGUGGUCUCAAGACACAGUCAGCUGUUGGGGAUCAGCGGCCACACUCAUCGUAGCAGAGAGGCAGGACCAACUGGGGGAGGGUCCUUCUGUGACACCUACUGCAUCACCGGGCUGUGUGAAGUGACUCAGCUGCCAGAACUCACACAAUAUAAUUCUACACCAAACCUCACGGGAAAAAUGCUCCACAACCCUCAGACUUAAACAGCAGCACUGGCUCCCCUCCAGAUCUCCAGCUCCCUGACCUUCAAACUCCAACUCCAACACCAGCUCCGCCCCGGGUCUCCAGCUCCACAAUCCUCAAACUACAACAGCAGCACCAGCUCCCCUGGGGAUCUCCAGCUCAAUGACUCUCAGACUUGGGAGGCAGCUCCAGCUCCCACCAAGCCUCCAGCUCCACAACCUUCAAACUGGAAUAGCAGCACCAGCUACUCCCUGGGUCUCCAGCUCCCCCAAAAUUCAACUAUAGCACUGGCUGUUCCCCAGCGCCACCAGCUCCACAACCCUCAACUUACACGGUGGUAGCACCAGCUCCUCCCUAGGUCUCCAGCUACAUGACCAUCAAACUUGAACUGCAAUACCAGCUCCUCUUCGGCCUCCAGCUCCACAAUCCUCCAACAACAACAGCAACACCAGCUCCUCCCUGAAUCUCCAGCUCAACAACCCUCAGACUUGAGAGGCAGCACUGGCAUCUCCCCAAGGCUCCAGCUCCACGACCCUCAGAUUUGAACAGCGGUAGCACCAGCUCCUGUCCAGGUCUCCAGCUUCAUGAUCCUUAAACUAGAAUAGCAACACCACCACCUCCCUGGGUUUCCAGCUCCACGACCCUAAGACAUGAAUGGCAGGACCGGGUCCCCCCUAGGGCUCCAGCUUCAAGACCCACAGAUAUAGACGGCAGCACCGGCUCUUUCUGGGAUCUCCAGCUCCACGGCCUUCAAACAAGAUCAGCAGCACCAGCUCCCCUCUGGUUCUGCAGUUCCACAAUCCUCAGACAUGAACAAUAGCACCGGCUCUUCCUUGGGUCUCCAGCUUUGCUACCCUCAGACUAGAACAGCAACACUGGUUCCUCCCUGGGUCUCCAGCUCUACAAGUCUCAGACUUGAAAGGCAGCACUGGCUCCUCAGAAAGUUUCCGGCUACAAGCUGGUGCUGCUGUCCUAGUUUGAAGGUCAUGGAGCUGGAGACCCGGGGAGGAAACAUUUGAACAGCAGCACUGGCCCCUUCCCGGGUCUCCAGAUCCACGACCCUCAAAAUAGAAUGGCAUCACCGGCUCCUCCCUGCGUCUCCAGCUCCCAAACUCUCAAACUUCAAUUGACACACCAGACCCUCCCCACAGUUAAACAGCAGCACGGGCUGUUCCCCAAAGCUCCAGAUCCACGACCCUCUGACUUAAAUGGCGAUAGCACCGGCUCCUCCCUAAGUCUCCAGUUCCACGACCCUCAAACUACACAGCAGCACCAGCUCCUCCUUGGGUCUCCAGCUUCACUACACUCAGACUAGAACAGCAACACUGGUUCCUCCCUGGGUCUCCAGCUCAAUGACUCUCAGAUUUGAAAGGCAGCACCAGCUCCUCAAAAAGAUUCUGGCUCCAAGACCCUCGAACUAGAAUAGCAGCAGCUGCUGCAUCUUGGGUCUCCAGCUCCACGACCCUCAAAGUACAAAAGCAGCCCUGGCUCCUCCCUGCCUCUCCAGCUCCUCAAACAUGAACAGCACCACAGGCUCCUCCCCCAGUCUCCAGUUCCACGAACCUCAAACUACAACAGCAGUACCGGCCUCUCCCCAGGUCUCCAGAUCCAUGACCCUCAAAAUAGAAUGGCAUCACCAGCUUCUUCCUGGGUCUCCAGCUCCCAAACCCUCAAACUUCAACGGACACAGCAGAUCCUCCCCACAGUUAAACAGCAGCACGGGCUGUUCCCCAAAGCUCCAGAUCCACGACCCUCAGUAGCACUGGCUCCUCCCAAGGUCUCUAGUUCCAUGACUCUCAAACUAUACAGCAGCACCGACUCCUCCCCAGGUCCACAGCUCCACCACCCUCACACUAGACACCAAGACUACCUCCUCCCCGCUCUCCAGCUACACGACCCUCAGACUUGAACAGCAGCAGCGGCUCCUCCCUAGAUUUCCAGCUCCAUGACCCUCAACCUGCAACAGCAGCACCAGCUCCUCCCUGUACCUCAAGCCCCAUGACCCUCUGACUUGAUCAACAGCAACACCAGCUCCCUCCCUGGUCUCCAGCUCCACAACCUUCAGGCUUAAACAGCAGCAGCACCAGCUCCUCCCUGGGUCUCCAGCUCCACAACCCUCAGACUAGAACCGCACCCCUCCUCCCUGAGUCUCCAGCUCCAUGACCAUCAAACUACAACAGCAACACAGGUUCCUGUCUGGAUCUCCAGCUCAGCAACUCUCAGACGAGGCAGCACCGGCAACUCACCAAGGCUGCAGCUCCACAACCCUCAGAUUUGAAUAAUGGUAGCACCAGCUCCUGUCCAGAUCUCCAGCUUCAUGAUCCUUAAACUAGAACAGCAGCACCGCUGCCUCCCUGGGUUUCCAGCUCCAUGACCCUAAGACAUGAAUGGCAGAACCGGCUCCCCACAAGGGUUCCAGCUCCAGGACCCACAGAUUUAAAUGGCAGCACUGGCUCUUCCCAGGAUUUCCAGCUCCACUACCCUCAAACUAGAAGAGGAGCACUGGCUCCUCCCUGGGUCUCCAGCUCCCAAACCCUCAGACAUCACCUGACACACUGGAUCCUCCCCACAGUUACAUAGCAGCACGGGCUGUCCCCGAAAACUCGAGAUCCACAACCCUCUGACUUCAAUGGCGGUAGCACUGGUUCCUCCCUAGGUCUCCAGUUCCAUGACCCUCAAACUACACAGCAGCACCAGCUCCUCCCCAGGUCUACAGCUCCACCACCCUCACACUAGACACCAGGACUACCUCCUCCCCGCUCUCCAGCUACACGACCCCCAGAUUUGAACAGCAGCAGCGUCUCCUCCCUGUACCUCAAGCCCCAUAACCCUCAUAUAUGAACAACAGCAACACCAGCUAAUGCCUAGGGCUCCAGCUCCAGGAUCCACAGAUUUAAACUGCAGCACCAGCUCAUCCAAGGAUCUCCAGCUCCACCACCCUCAGACUAGAACAAGACCUCUACUCCCUGGGUCGCGAGCUUCUGGACCCUCGAACUAUGGAAACAUUGCUCCUCCCUGGGUCUGCAGCUCCACGACCCUCAAACCAGAUCAAGAUCUCUCCUCCCUGUGUCGUCAGCUUCCUGACCCUUGAACUAUGACAACAUUGCUCCUCCCUGGGUCAGCAUCUCCACCACCCUCAAGCCAGAUCAAGAUCUCUCCUCCCUGGGUCGCCAGCUUCCUGACCCUCGAACAACAGAAACAUUGCUCCUCCCUGGGUCAGCAGCUCCACGAUCCUCAAACUAGAAUGAGACCUCUCCUCCCUGCGUCGCCAGCUUCCGGACCCUUGAACUAUGAAAACAUUGCUCCUCCCUGGGUCGGGAGCUCCAUGACCCUCAAACUAGAACAAGACCUCUCCUCCCUAGGUCUGCAGCUUCCAGUCCCUCAAAUAACAACAUUGCUCCUCCCUGGAUCUGCAGCUCCACGACCCUCAGACUAGAACAAGACCUCUCCUCCCUAGGUCUGCAGCUUCCAGUCCCUCAAAUAACAACAUUGCUCCUCCCUGGAUCUGCAGCUCCAUGACCCUCAGACUAGAACAAGAUCUCUCCUCCCUGGGUCACCAGCUUCUGGACCCUCGAACUACAAAAACAUUGCUCCUCCCUGGGUCUGCAGCUCCACGACCCUCAAACCAGAUCAAUAUCGCUCCUCCCUGUGUCAUCAGCUUCCUGACCCUCGAACUAUGACAAAAUUGCUCCUCCCUGGGUCAGCAGCUCCACAACCCUCAAACCAGAUCAAGAUCUCUCCUCCCUGGGUGGCCAGCUUCCUGACCCUCAAACAACAGAAACAUUUCUCCUCCCUGGGUCAGCAGCUCCACGAUCCUCAAACUAGAAUGAGACCUCUCCUCCCUGCGUCACCAGCUUCCGGACCCUUGAACUAUGAAAACAUUGCUCCUCCCUGGGUCGGGAGCUCCAUGACCCUCAAACUAGAACAAGACCUCUCCUCCCUAGGUCUGCAGCUUCCAGUCCCUCAAAUAACAACAUUGCUCCUCCCUGGAUCUGCAGCUCCACGACCCUCAGACUAGAACACGAUCUGUCCUCCCUGGGUCACCAGCUUCCAAACCUUCGAACUAAAACAACAUUGCUCCUCCCUGGAUCUGCAGCUCCACGACCCUCAAACUAGAAAAAGGCCUCUCCUCACUGUGUCACCAGCUUCUGGACCCUUGAACUACAAAAACAUUGCUCCUGCCUGGGUCUGCAGCUCCACGACCCUCAAACCAGAUCAAGAUCUCUCCUCCCUGUGUCGUCAGCUUCCUGACCCUUGAACUGUGACAAAAUUGCUCCUCUCUGGGUCUGCAGCUCCAUGACCCUCAAACCAGAUCAAGAUCUCUCCUCCGUGUGUCAUCAGCUUCCAGACCCUCAAACUACGAAAACAUUGCUCCUCCCUGGGUCUGCAGCCCCACGACCCUCAAACUAGAACAAGACCUGUCCUCCCUGUGUCCCCAGCUUCCUGACCCUCGAAGUACAACAUUGCUCCUCCCUGGGUCUGCAGCUCCAGGACCCUCAAUCCAGAUCAAGAUCUCUCCUCCCUGUGUCAUCAGCUUCCUGACCCUCGAACUAUGACAGCAUUGCUCCUCCCUGGGCGCACCCUCAAACUAGAACAAGACCUCUCCUCCCUGUGUCGCCAGUUUCCGGAGCCUCAAACUAAAACAACCUUGCUCCUCCCUGGGUCUGCAGCUCCACAACCCUCAAACUAGAACCAGACCCCUCCUCCCUGUAUUGCCAGCUUCCUGACCCUUGAACUAUGAAAACAUGGCUCCUCCCUGGGUCUGCAGCUCCACGACCCUCAAACUAAAACAAGAUCUCUCCUCCCUGUGUCAUCAGCUUCCAGUCCCUCAAAUAACAACAUUGCUCCUCCCUGGAUCUGCAGCUUCCAGUCCCUCAAAUAACAACAUUGCUCCUCCCUGGAUCUGCAGCUCCAUGACCCUCAGACUACAACAAGAUCUCUCCUCCCUGGGUCACCAGCUUCCGGACCCUCGAACUACAAAAACAUUGCUCCUCCCUGGGUCUGCAGCUCCACGACCCUCAAACUAAAACAAGAUCUCUCCUCCCUGUGUCAUCAGCUUCCAGUCCCUCCAAUAACAACAUUGCUCCUCCCUGGGUCUGCAGCUCCACGACCCUCAAACUAGAACAAGACCUCUCCUCACUGUGUCGCCAGCUUCUGGACCCUCGAACUAUGAAAACAUUGCUCCUCCCUGGGUCCGCAGCUCCACGACCCUCAGACUAGAACAAGACCUCUCCUCCCUAGGUCUGCAGCUUCCAGUCCCUCAAAUAACAACAUUGCUCCUCCCUGGAUCUGCAGCUCCACGACCCUCAGACUAGAACAAGAUCUCUCCUCCCUGGGUCACCAGCUUCUGGACCCUCGAACUACAAAAACAUUGCUCCUCCCUGGGUCUGCAGCUCCAAGACCCUCAAAGCAGAUCAAGAUCUCUCCUUCCUGUGUCAUCAGCUUCCUGACCCUUGAAUUAUGACCAUUGCUCCUCCCUGGGUCUGCAGCUCCAUGACUCUCAAACUAGAACAGCAGCACCAGCUCCUUCCUGGACCUCCAGGUCAAUGACUCUCAGACUUUAAAGGCAGCAGCAGCUCCACCCCCAGGCGCCAGCUCUAAAACCCUCAGAUGUGAGCAGUGGCAGCACCAGCUCCUUUCUGCAUCUCCGGCUUCAAGAUCCUUAAAUUAGAACAGCAGCGCCAUCUUCUCCCUGCGUCUCCAGCUCCAGGAACCUCAAACUGCAACAGGAGCACCUGUUCCUCUGGGAUUUUCACCUCCAUGACCCUGAAGUGUCAGCGGCAGCACUGGCUCCUCCCCUGGGCUGCAGCUCCAGAACCCUCAUGAAUAAUCCCUUCUCAUGAAAUGUAGCAGUCAGGAAAACUGCAGAGGAAGUAAAUAAAUAAAUGUUUUCUUUCAAA